rnacentral:tRNA from 15 species
CGGGGUGUGGCGCAGUUGGCUAGCGCGUUCGCAUGGGGUGCGAAAGGCCGCAGGUUCGAGUCCUGUCACCCCGACCA